GCUCCGUUAUCAACAAUUUAAACGGAAAAACCCAGCUAUUCAGCCUAUACUUAUCGCCCUCUCACGGCGGCAACAGGGGUUCGAAUCCCCUAUGGGGCGCCA
rnacentral:tRNA from 1 species